CCUACGGGAGGCAGCAGUGGGGAAUAUUGCACAAUGGGGGAAACCCUGAUGCAGCGACGCCGCGUGAGUGAAGAAGUAUUUCGGUAUGUAAAGCUCUAUCAGCAGGGAAGAAAAUGACGGUACCUGAUUCAGAAGCCCCGGCUAACUACGUGCCAGCAUCCGCGGUAAUACGUAGGGGGCAAGCGUUAUCCGGAUUUACUGGGUGUAAAGGGAGCGUAGACGGCAGCACAAGUCUGGAGUGAAAUGCCGGGGCUUAACCCCGGAACUGCUUUGGAAACUGUGCAGCUAGAGUGCAGGAGAGGUAAGUGGAAUUCCUAGUGUAGCGGUGAAAUGCGUAGAUAUUAGGAGGAACACCAGUGGCGAAGGCGGCUUACUGGACUGUAACUGACGUUGAGGCUCGAAAGCGUGGGGAGCAAACAGGAUUAGAUACCCGAGUAGUC
rnacentral:rRNA from 1 species